GGGAUACCCUACGGAGCCACACUGGACGUUUCUUGGCCCUACCCAGACAUGGCCUUCCCACAUCCUGGAGCCUGGAGGCUAAGGCUGCCAGGCCACCACAGGGCAGCAGGCUUGUUUUCAUCCAGCUGCUUGUAGAGGGUGCUGUUCUUCAGGGAGGCAGCUCCCCAGAACCAGCACUGGAAGAAUGUCGCAAGGCUAGAGAGUGCUGUGGACUGAGCCACAGCACCCUGCUUGGCAGCCCAGGUCCAGGAAGGGUUAAAUUCCAGACCAAUGUAUGUAUCCUGGCAGCUCUGAAGCGUAGUGAAGAAGGCAAUGGGCAAACAUGACCUGCUGUAAACAAGUUUACAGUAGAACAUAAACCCAAAGCUGAAAGGCCUUCAGAAAAUGAAAAUUCUUCCCUGACAAAGAUGGUGGGAGCCACGUCCACAGGCACUCGCACUUGGCAGCAAAUCCUUCUCAAGUGGCCUUCAGAGAGCUCUCUGCAAGUAGAAGCUGUUUUUAAGACAGGGAGAAGGAGGGCUACUGCAAAGUUCCUCUUUGGAUUUCAGAAAGGAUCCCGGGGAUCUUUGACAGGGCUGGUGGUGGUCACAGAGACACUGUGAAGAAGCUUUGUCUCAAGUGGUGCCUGCUGCUGGGAAAUGGCUUUAGGGGGUCUAUCUUGGGGAAGAGGCAGUGCUUUCCUACCCUACUGCAGAACUGCUCAGACAUUGCUUUUUGGAAAUGGGACUCCUGAAUCACCUGUCUCUAUUUCACUACCAGGAAACUGCUAGCACUGUGGCACUGAUGGCAGAACCAGGUGGUACGAGACACUGGGAGCUACUAUCCAGCCAAUGGCUUCUUGCUCACUCUGAGAAGAUCACUUGGCACAUCUUCCUAUGCUUCUGGACUUGAGCUGGAAAACUGACUUGGUGGCUAGCUGCUGCUGGGUGAAAAGAUACCUCCAGGAUCAUCAUGCUGUUGUCUCCAGGCACGGGUGGAGGAGGGAAGUAUUUGCAGUGGACUGAGAGGUGGAAAUGCAGAGCAUUUGGGUGUAUUGUUUAUGUUUGCUAAGUGCAGAGCAGAACUCUGCUUGGCUCUUCCAGUGUGCCCUGAACACCACAGGGUAAGGAAGCAGAAGAGAUAUCCCUCACUUGGUCCCAGGGUACGUGUCAGACCAUCAGUGGUCUCUGUGGUCUGUGUUUGCACAGUGCCAAGUGUUGCUAGUUCUCAAGACAAGGGGCACAGAAAGAUAUGCUGGAAAAUUAUUUUUAACCUCCUGCAAUUUACUGUUCUGAAAGGUAAGUCACGUUUGUCAAGGCUGGUUCAGUAGCAGCCACUGUGGAGGCAAUCUUUUCCUGAUACACAACACAUCUUUUUGCAAGGUGAUGCUCACAAAAUUUAAGUAUGAUCUAUCAUGGUUUCCAGGAGCUCUUGGAAGAACUAACAAGCAUUUCACAGGGUCCAGCGUUAAACUCUUCCCUGCUGGGAUGCAGUAGAGAACAGAAACUGUCAAACAGUUUGAGAUCCAUUUAAUAGCAAUUAGUGUGGAUGAAAGAAGCACUAACGUGAAAGCCUCAGUCUCUGUGCCUAGGGUGAGAGGAGGAGAGGAACAUGUAAGAGAAAAUGUAAACAUGACAAAAUGUGGUUGUGUAUCCCACAAAACAAUGAAUCAUUUUAACAUUUCCCAUCCUUUUCAUGCAAGCAGCCGCAGUCAAUUCAUAUGUGACAGAAUUGAGGACCUGCAGUACAACCAUGGAGCUGAGGAUCUGACAGAAUUGUGAACACGGAGUGAUCUUUGGAAUUCUACAUACAGCACGAAAGGAAAGGAAAGUAUAUGAUGAAUAAGAGACAGAAGUUGUAACAGCAGAAGCCUUCUGGACAAGAGAACUCUGCCCACGCAGAGGAGGACCCACUGGAGAGGAGAAGCCAUCACUGCUAACAGAUAUUGAGCACCUACAGAAAGUAAGAGUAUUUCCCAGGAAAAUCCCAAAUUGCAAGAAAUGUAGCCUUAAAAUAUAUCCUUGUAAAAGCCUGAAAAAUAUGAUUCAGAAUGUGUGUUCAUAAAGGCUACAGACUCUGGAAGACUCUCUUCCAGUAAAAGCAUAUGAUAGACUUCACCCUGUGUAGUGGUGUAAACAAUUAAGAGAUGCCAACAGUUAGCUUCAAGACAAAGGGUUAGGUGGGUUGGUAGGAUGGUAUCCCUGGAAAAAGGAAAGGAAGGCAUACAACAGCUAAAUAGGUGAAUAUUUGGUUAUGUGCAUAAUUUCACAAUUUGGAAAUACUAACACUUUUAGAAAGUUAGGAUCAUUCUCUGGAUCCUGGUAAUUGUGUGAGCAGAGGAGCUCAACAUGAUGUGCUUGCACCAUGUCUUUUGGGAAGUUCAGAUUCCUGCAGUUGUACUUUAAAAAAAAAAGUUGUAGACACUUAUCAUGAAACGAUAUAUAAAGAAGCCUGCUACUGACAACAGAAGAACAAUACAUGGUACAAGAGAAGCAUAAGUUUAAAGAGAACUCGGUACAACAAGGGCUACCAGGGGGAAAAUGGAAGCCAGUGGGCUGACUGGACAUGCACAGAUGUCAUCCAUUAAAGGCAGUGGAUCUGAUGGUGGUGACAACAGGAUUUGCAUGACAGGGAGCUACACUGAUGAAGGGUGAGCAGAGGUGGGUCUGAUGCUGCACCUUCUAGAUGUAGCCGCUGGAUAAAGGCCCAUUCCCCUGUGGUGCAGAAGGGCUUUGCUGGUCCCUCCCAACCACGUUAUUCCUCAAGGUGCUGGACUCAGCCAUUACAGCACCAGUGUAUUCCAGAAGUGGUCAGAUUGCGAUGUCUUUCUGGGUUGUGAGUCCAAAAAGCAUUCUAGUACCAGAAAUAAACAACUACUAUUUUCCAACUUAAAUACUCUCCACAGCUUUUUGCAGCCAAUUUUUGGCUUUCACUGCAUGUGACUAUACCACAGUUCUCCUACUGUCUGUAUGGGAAGAUUACAAUUACUUUGAGCCCUGUUUCUCUCUGCUUUCAGCUGGCAUCAGGGUCAUGGAAGAGCACAAGUAUGAAUGUGUGUGUAUGCAUGCAUUUCUGUUUACCAGGGAGAGAAUGACAAGAGGAAACUGUAUCAUGCUCCUUCUGACAUAGCCCUGCUCUAAGCUUUGCAUCUAGCUGGGACCUUUGUAUGUAGUCCAGACCCCAUAACCCAGACAUCUGCCUUUCCCCUGUUUUCUUUGCUCUGGUUAGUUAUAUUGCGUAUUUAGGGGAUGGCUUCAGUUAUCCACUCUGUUACUCCACCCAGGUGGUGAGCUGUGCAUCCAGCUGUAAAUCUCAGGAACAAACACAACUUGGAAUAGAGUGCCUGCGCUGCCUGCAGAAGGUUAUUGUGUGAGCACAUACCACAGCAGUGGAUCCCCCUCCCCAGAUCACGUCUCAGUCACAUUGUCUGCCUGCCCACUAGCAGGUCCAAACUCCUGCUCUUGGCCUUUCUUCAGUCCACAGUCUGGUACUAGACCAGCAGGGCAAAUGCUGAGUCACUGAUACAAGUAACUGCUCCAACCAUUAAUUUUUAUAGUCUGAGUGACAGCACUUCAUGCUGGGCACAACCAGUGACAGAGAUGAAAGCUUGAAGCCAAAUAGACAUCGCAGAACCAGCACAAGUGCAAUUUAUUACAGAAAUGCCUGGAUUGCAGAGGAAGCAGAGGGGUGUGUCUUGAAAGGAACCUUUAACACCUAAGAGUGAAAAGUAACAAGGGCUGUGAAGCAAUGGGAGCUGCCAGAGACAGCAGCUAAUGGACCUGGUCCUGGGGUUAGCUGGCAGCAGGGAGCAUGUGGCAGGGAGCCAAAGGAGGCAAAGACAUGGCCAGUCUGAGCUGUGUCCCUUCCAUUCCAACUUUUCCAGCCAGGCCUGCACAUGAUGUCAUGGUACAGAGAAUAUUUCUGCAAAAAGCACUGGUCCUAGUGUGGACUGAGGAGCCACUCCCAGGAUUGCCACCCUGGUGACAAAAGUCUUAUAAAUUCAGACUGGUGGCCACGGUUAUUCAGAGGUGUCCAGUGAGCAAAAGCAUUCACUCCCUUGCAGAGUCGGCUGCAGUGCAAAUUUUCCAUCUGCAUAAUCCAGUCUUAGCCUGGAAGGAAAAGGACUGGAGAAAAGGAAAUCGAGUCUCUUUGUGUCUGUCCUCAUCCUUGUUCUGAAACCUGACUGCCAGCUUGUCACAAAGACGUUUCCUACAAUAAAGUACUUCGUGCUGGGUUCUUCCAGAGUCACCCUAGUCACACAGCAGCUGACAGCUGUGGGCAUGCCCCAGGUGGUUUUUCCUGCUGCUGCACCUCAGCUGAGGAAGACACAUUCUCCUGCUUGUGCCCAAGGACACACUCCCAAGGGAAGGGACCUUCACUGAAGCCUUGUGGCUGGUGCACCUACUGCAGUCCCUGGGGCCAGAGCAGAGCCAUCCCCUGCACAUUCCUGCCCACUGGCUCAGCUGGGAGAGGCUCGGGCCAGCUGUCUGCAGGCAGCCACAAGGGAUGUGCAGGGGAGGGUGUCUGCCAAUUUGCCUUUGGGCUCUUCACUAGGCUCCUGGUGCAUGAUGUGAAGUCGCACGACUCCCUACCCAAAACCAGUGGUUCAGUGUUCAGAGGCAGAAGCAAUUUUACAUAAAGUUCAAUUAAAUAUUUGCUUUAUAAUUGCGCAACAAAUUAUUCAUAAAGGCAUUGGAAUUUAAUCACAAGGCUGACACCGUGGAGUCUGCAAAUGACACAGUACUUGGGGAGAAUAAAGAUGGAGGAGAGCUGCCAGGCUUUGGUGACACACAGUGCCUGACUGUGUGGGACAGUAGAAAUGCUCCCAAAAAAAGGACUGGAAGCAGCACCAACGAGCCUAAGUGAGGCGAUGCUGCUUGUCUAGCAGACAUAGAGUGGCAUAUGAGAACUGGCUCUGGGCAAUAGACUGGGGGUUUUGGCCAGUGUGUGCCCAGAAGACCUAGGCAGUGCUGGUCUGUGUCCAUCCCAACAUGUCAUGUUGGCUCUGGGCUCAUGUAGGGCAUGUCCUGUGGCUAAAGAGAGACUCAACCUGUGUGAACACAGAAUUGCUGCCUUCAGUUCUUUCCACCAUCUCCAACUGGAGUCAUGUGUUUCCUGGGCCUUUUUGGGUGUGCAGAGGCCUCUCUCUCCCUAGUAUGCAGAAAGGCCCCUAGUCAUGUGGAGCAACCAGCCUGUGGAGUCAAUCCUUCUAAACCUGCACUAGGGCAGUGUCUGGGGAAAGGUAGGAGGCAAUCUGGGUGUGUAAUGUGGCAUCACAGUCCCCAAGAGACAGGCAGCGUGAUGCAGUGCUUUGCAGAAGAUAGCUGCUAAGCACAGCAGGAGCAAAUGUGAGCACCCAGGGACCCUCUGCAGGGAACCUAAGAGGGACUUACUUCAUGGCCUUCAUCUUGAACUGCAGCCCUGGGAUCAAAGCUUUCACUGCCAGUCCUAAAACCCAGUGUUCAUAGAAUAUCCUUAGUUGGAAGACACCCACAAGGAUUAUCGAGUCCAGCUCCUGGGUCCCCAAAGGACCACCAAAAAAAAAGUUCAAGCUGAACUUGGAGGGCAGAAGACUGAAUCCUCCACCCUGUGAAGAGCGAGACUGGUGGGACUGAGUUGUGUCAAUCUCUGUUCCUCUGAGAUGGUGUCAGGUGAGGUCUGAGAAUGAAAAAUGGCCUGCUGUGCAGAUGCUGAGCCCAGCUCUCACCACAGCCUGAUUUUGCUUUGCCUAGCAAGGACAUGUCCAUCCCAGAUUCUGUCCCCUGCUGUCAUCCUGUGCAGUGGGCUGCAGACUGCCCCUGUCCCACUAGGGAGAAGCUCUGCAGGGCAUCCAGUGUUAGGCGGGCUGUGACUGACAGGGGAGCUGGGUCCUGGACAGAGGGCUGGACUGGAGAUGGAUUGCCUGCCACCCAGAUGUGGACAUUAGACAGGUAGUUAGAUUAAUGGGAUCUGGCUCUGCCAACAUAGAGGUGAGUCACAGAGCCUGUCCUGUGCUGAAUCUGCUUCUCCAAUAGGGAAGAAGUAGGAGGAUUUAGCAAGAUUAGUCCCUCACAGAGUUGUGAGAAUAGCCAGCAUUCAUGUGCUUCUCAGCAACAAAUUUCCAUGUAAGCAGACAGCAUUUUGACUUGCUUUGUCUGACAGAGCAUAGAUCCAUACUGGUAACUUUGGAAUUCCCUGCCACUCGUCACAGGUAGGAUUGACUGUCCUUCCCCACUCAAACAUGAACCCUGCAAAGCACAGUCUGCAUACAAGCACCAAGAAAGCAGUGGCUCGAGAGCACUUGCUCCCUGAUUUUUCCCUGAAGUCAUUGUCUGCAGCUGCUCUGCCCCAAACAAUGCUGAACCCUGCAUAGAACACACAAGAAAGGCGUAUGAACUUCUUCGGGCAGCUGGGAGGAUUGGGUGACACAUCAGCUGGGAGAGUUCACUCAGCCUCUGCCAUCUUCAUAUAGAGGAAGAGCAGGGAGCACACCCGGACAAUAAAUAGCCAGAGCAUCUUCCCUGGUGAGAUAUACUCUUCCCUCUGGCCAGCAUUUGCUGACACGGCAGGAAUGACAAAUGCGGUGAGAGCUGCUAGGAGGGAGAACAGGUUGGUCAUGGCUACCUCUUUUUGGCAGGAAGUGAUGGGAAGGUCUCAGUAAUCCUGUCUCUGCCCCUCCCAACACCGAACUCAACAGGGAGGCAGAUGAGGCCAAGAAGAGGAAAUUUUAGUAAACUGCUUUUAUGUUGUGUUUACGGGAACAUAAGAGGGAACCUCAGUGGUAGUGAACCAGGAAAAUUUUAAUGGAAAAGGCAAAUUUCUGUUCUAUGUUGGGAAUCCUUGUGUUUUUGUUUUGUUUUUGUUUGUUUUGAUUUGAUUUUGUUUUGUUUUUCCUGAUAUUUCUUUAGUUCAUGUCAUGGCUCUUCAGUCUGAGCAGUUUUACAAAUCUGCUGUGGAGAUGAAAGCACCAAGGAAUGCUGCUCAGGAUCAAGUUGGAAAAGCUUUCAACUUUCAGCUCCUACAGAAAAAGGCAAGGGGUGGGGGGUGGGGGGAGGGCAAAGGCUGGGAAAAAGAAGAGGAAAGAGCAAAAAGAGAUAAGGAGAAAUGAUAAGUGAAAGGUAAAGAGCAGAGAAGACAAAUCACAACAUGGGAGAUAGAAAAGGAACAAGUCACUAACAGAAAGAAACAGAGAGGAUAGGGAGAGAACAAAGCAAAGGAGCCUGGAGCUCAGUGAGAUGGGGAGAGUACGUCAGAAUAAGGGAAGAGUGCUGCAGGUACAGGAGAGCUAAGACACACAAAAGAGCUAUUUGAAUGCUGGGAUAAAGCAAUGAUGGGAAUAAGAGGAGAGGAGAAGCCAGAUGGGGACUAAAUUGCCAUGGAGAUAAAGGAGAAGCCAGCAAAGUCAAAGGAUAACCAAUCCAUCCCUGCCUCACUGAAAAUGCAAGACAUGGCAUGAAAGUGACAUACUGAUGUUUGCAAGAGGCUGUGGGACAGAGCUGUGGGAGCUGUGUUCACUGUUCAUACAUAUGGGGAGCCACAUUCCCAAAGGGAGUAAUCAUGUCAUGGGUGGCCCACAUUUUCCUGCCUUGCAUCCUCCGUCAUCCCUUCCCCACUGUGCUUUUGAGCAUAUUCUGAAGCAUUGCUGGCUUCAGUUCUUGCAGAACGACUGUCAUAACAUGCCUUGUUACAGUGCUGUCUGGGCUUAUUGGCACCCUGCAGGACAGCAGCAUGAGGGCAUGGAGCAGCCAUGACACAGGAGAGGGGGUGAUGGCAGGAGAGGCAAACAUUCCCUAGCUCUGGGGCAAGGAGGUCUCAGCAAAAGCAGAUUGGAAAAGGGCAAAUGUAGACAAGUGCUGGAACUGUCGCCACCCAGUAUAACACCAGCUAAUAGGAUGCUUUCUGCUAGGUGGGCUGAACUCCAUCUGGGCUACAGCUGCACUGUGAGGGGCUGUCUCAGCGAAAAGAUCUGGAUGUUGCCAGUGACUGUGCCAAUGCUGACACAAGAGCCCAGCAGCUGUCCUAGGGCUACACCAACAUUGAGCAAGGUCUCUGUUCACAGACAGUGCUAGCAGUGGAGGAGCUGCACUCCAGGCUUUGCUUCUUUCCCUGUAAGAGCAUCAGGCACGAGUGGGAUCUACUUUGGCAGCAGUACUGGCAACUGGAAGGUUUCUCAUACACAGGGAUUCAGAACAUUUCUAGAUGUUUCCCUGUCUGAAGGGUCUGGCAAGGAGCAUUUUCUAGGUCAUCUUUUAGGGCCCCAUUGGCCUUUGAGGGUGAGAGUCAUGCAACAGAAUGAGGAUUGGAAGCUUUGUGCCAGCCAGAGCAAGAGGGCUGGAAGACAUCUGUCUGAGCCUGCUGCUGGAUCUGUGCCCUGCUCAUCUCUUGGUCCUGCAAAGGAGAAGUCACUCCUGGAUUCAUUCUGUGAUUAUAAACCUUUGUCUUUUGCUUACCAUCCACCUCUCCCUGACCUGCAGAUCACCUGCCUCUGCAGGAAGCACCAUACAUAACCAGGUGGUAAGUGGGUAGGACACUCUUCAGCUGAGUUACCACAGUUUCUUGCACCUAUUGGCCAAGAACAGGAUUCAUCUGCCUUGUAUAAGGCACUGCACACAUGGAGCGAAAGGGCAUUCUAUUCUCAUCUGUUCUGUCUUGUUCCUUUGAGGGCCAGGCUCCAAGGCCUAGUACCAGCGGUUCAUGUGAAAGCAAGAGAGCAUUUUCUUCAGAUAAGAUAUGAGACCCUGGACAGUGGAGACUGAAAAAUGUCCCGCUGUGGGCUGUUUGCCUGAAAUGUGGCUAAACCCUGACUUUUAUGAUCAGAUUUAUCAGUCCAAAAAUGAUAUUGUAGUCU